rnacentral:rRNA from 1 species
AUUGAACGCUGGCGGCAGGCUUAACACAUGCAAGUCGAGCGGGGGAAGGUAGCUUGCUACCGGACCUAGCGGCGGACGGGUGAGUAAUGCUUAGGAAUCUGCCUAUUAGUGGGGGACAACAUCUCGAAAGGGAUGCUAAUACCGCAUACGUCCUACGGGAGAAAGCAGGGGAUCUUCGGACCUUGCGCUAAUAGAUGAGCCUAAGUCGGAUUAGCUAGUUGGUGGGGUAAAGGCCUACCAAGGCGACGAUCUGUAGCGGGUCUGAGAGGAUGAUCCGCCACACUGGGACUGAGACACGGCCCAGACUCCUACGGGAGGCAGCAGUGGGGGAUAUUGGACAAUGGGGGGAACCCUGAUCCAGCCAUGCCGCGUGUGUGAAGAAGGCCUUAUGGUUGUAAAGCACUCUAAGCGAGGAGGAGGCUACUUUAGUUAAUACCUAGAGAUAGUGGACGUUACUCGCAGAAUAAGCACCGGCUAACUCUGUGCCAGCCGCCGCAGUAA